GUGAAAUAGUUGAAUAAUUAUUUAUAAUAUUAUUCAGAGCAGUAUAAUCAUAUUAUUAUUAUAUCUACAAGUCUUUAUUAAUAUAAUAAGCAAAAUAAAAUUCAUGUAUACAAAUGUAGUUUAAGGUAAAGUAACAGCCAAUUGUAGGAGCGGGUUGUUAGCUCCGCCCCUUCCAGCUUGCCGGCAGAGAGAGACACGGAGCAGAGACGAGACCGGUUAUCUGAGCAAUAGAGAGGAGUAAACUUGAACAAAAAGGAUAGAAUACGUGCACUGACGCCAUUUUGAAAUCGCGUGUGUGUGAAAAGGCCAUAGAGAGAUAAAGGCAUUGUGAAUUUGACAGGCCAGGUUUUUUUCUGAGGAGAUUUUCCCGGUUUCCCUGGAUUCUUUGUAUUGAUGGCGAGCCUCCCACGUCGACCUGGAAAGUCGUGAAGUACCCAAAUUUUCAGUUUAUCCUCCUUUCACCGGAUAAAGUAAGAAUAUACCAAAAAGUUAUUUCCUUUAAUGGACUGGGAUUCCGAACACAGCUGUAAGGACUGAUUUUCUUGACAGAAAAAACAGAACUUGAACUUAAUUGAACUGAGUUCACUGAUUUCAGUGUGAACAACCAUACUGAUUUAUUUGUGUUAUUUUUAUGGUUUCUUUUGGUUUUACUUGAACUCAUUUAUUGUGAUUUUGUUUUUGAUUUAUGACAAUUGUAAAGUGGGUGCACCCUGGGGACCAUGUGUAAAUAGUUUUGUAUUUCUAAGGUAAUUAUUGUUUUCUGAGAAAAAUAUAAGGAAAGAGAAAAAAACAUACAAUCCAAAGUAAAAGUAUUUUUAUAUUUAAAACAUACCUUUUGUGUCUGGUUAUUGCUCAGUUACACCCCCACCUCCUUUUACUUACCUUGAAGUCUUCUGAUUAUAUUGUCUGGUCCAAUAUUACAUAAAUUCAGUACACCCGUUACAAAUGUGGCGAGCCAGCCAGGAGGUGGCGCUGUAGCUGAGUAAUAAUUUUUAUAUAAGCAACUAAAAUAUAAUCUUUUGACAUUCAACUUAGGAAAAAAUAUAUAUAAUAAAUAUCUAACUAAAUAUGGAUAUAGUUGAGGCAGAGAACAUUAAAAUUCCAAACUCCCUGAUUAUCAGUGGCUUGACUAACACAGAGCAUGAUGAAGAAUUAAUGGACAUACUGAAAAGAUAUGGUUCUUUUUCAAGAACUUUUGUCAUCAGUGACAGAGAAUCAGCAUUCUAUCAGAACACAAUAAUUGAGUAUAACAGUGGUCAAGCCUUGCAGUCUCUUGAAUCCCAGCUGCCUUAUACUCACCAGUCAUCAAGU